rnacentral:misc_RNA from 1 species
GUAAGGGGAAAACAGGAAAAUAACGAGGGAAAUAAAAGGCCAAGAUUGUAUUUCUUAAUCAAUUCAAUUAAUCAAUAUUGUCUCUCUCUUUGUAAAAAGCUUAAUGGUAAAAGUUUAAAAGAGCUUCUGUUUUAAAAGUAUGACGUUUUUAUAAAAGCGAGACGUGAGGGCAUUUAAAA